rnacentral:rRNA from 1 species
GCUUGUCUCAAAGAUUAAGCCAUGCAUGUCUAAGUAUAAAUCUUUUACUUUGAAACUGCGAACGGCUCAUUAUAUCAGUUAUAGUUUAUUUGAUAGUCCCUUACUACUUGGAUAACCGUAGUAAUUCUAGAGCUAAUACAUGCGUCAAUACCCUUCUGGGGUAGUAUUUAUUAGAUUGAAACCAACCGCUUCGGCGUGAUGUGGUGAUUCAUAAUAAAUUUGCGAAUCGCAUGGCUUUACGCCGGCGAUGGAUCAUUCAAGUUUCUGCCCUAUCAGCUUUCGACGGUAGUGUAGUGGACUACCGUGGCGUUAACGGGUAACGGAGAAUUAGGGUUCGAUUCCGGAGAGGGAGCCUGAGAAAUGGCUACCACAUCCAAGGAAGGCAGCAGG